rnacentral:other from 1 species
CGGGCACUGCCUGGUACGAGCUUUAGCGAACAUCCCUGAGGCGAUAUAACAUCCUAGGGAGCUGUCCCUGCCCGGACCCUGGUCCGGAUCACACGGCGCCCACCUGACGUGAAGGCGUCAGAGGAUAUUCCAGCAAACGGCCAAGGCGGUCCCGCC